GUCCAUGUUGGAAAAGAGACUCCAUGGCGGUUUCCGGCUGCCGGCUGGGUGUUACGACUUACCACUCGCCAUGCUCUCCACACCAUGCUGUUUGCAGAUAAUGAGGCCUGAGCCAGCUAUCGUAACAACACAGCAUGCCAGUUCUGGCUCAUGCUGGUAUCACAAUUUCAGUGUCAGCGUUUGGACUAUAACAGCAUCCUGUUCCACUGGAGAAUAAACUGUUCGAUGUCGGUCGAGUUCUUCCCCUUUGUUAUCAAGAAUGUCCUGUGGGUGUAUUCACGAGGACCCCCCUUUUGCAGAUCCUGCCUGGUGGAUUCAACUUUAUACUGGGAAUGGAGUGUUGACUGCAGAUGCCUAGCUGUAUUUCCCAGGCUUAAUUAAAGGUAGGACAAAUCUAUCUGUAAUCUUCCUAUCUGAACUGUUUGGUGUUGUAGUGCGAUUAAUCCUGAGCUAGGCACUUGACUUGAACUUCUCUUGCCACUUUUUACUAAGCAACUGACAUUCACUAUAAUCGAAUCGACCAGACUCUAAUUAAAUCAUUUAAAUAUCGAGUUAAAGA